AAUCAACGCUGGCGGCGUGCCUAACACAUGCAAGUCGCACGAGAAAGGGACUUCGGUCCUGAGUACAGUGGCGCACGGGUGAGUAACACGUGAAUCAUCUACCUUCGAGUGGGGAAUAACUGAGAGAAAUCUUAGCUAAUACCGCAUAAUACCUACGGGUCAAAGCAGCAAUGCGCUUGAAGAGGAGUUCGCGGCAGAUUAGUUAGUUGGCAGGGUAAGGCCUACCAAGACGAUGAUCUGUAUCCGGCCUGAGAGGGCGCACGGACACACUGGAACUGAAACACGGUCCAGACUCCUACGGGAGGCAGCAGUGGGGAAUUUUGCGCAAUGGGGGAAACCCUGACGCAGCAACGCCGCGUGGAGGAUGAAAUCCCUUGGGAUGUAAACUCCUUUCGAUCGGGAAGAUAAUGACGGUACCGAGAGAAGAACG
rnacentral:rRNA from 1 species